GAUUCGUCACGGCGAAGAGGGCCGAGGAGGCCCGACCUAACACAGAAUAGGCCUGGGUUUAGCGGCUGUGAGGAGCCGGAGCCGCCGCAGCGACCGAGGAAGUGGCGGGAGGUGCCGAGCCUUGCGGAGGGGCGGUGGGGGCCGCGGUGGGAGACGGCGGAUGGCGCUCAGCGCGAGGCCGCGGAACCACUGUGGCAGCAAGCAGUUCGGCCAGACUCCCGCUGAGCCCGCUCCUGGAGGGGCCCUCCCCGACUCCGGUCUUGCUUUCCUUUAGGCUGUGGGUCAGAGUCUACACUUCACUAAACCUGGGAUGGAGGCGUGGAGGACUUGCUUCGCGGCGUUUGCGUCCUCGCAGGCGCCUCGCAGGGCUUCCUGCCCUCACGGCGGGGGAGUAGCUUUGGCGAAAAUCAGCACGAGUUCUGCAGUUUUUCCAAGCGCUUUUAGGGUGUAAUCGUCCCAGGUUUCUAAGCCAAGGCCCGGAGAGUUGACCCCCUCGCAACAGCUUGUGUGUCCUUGCAGCGCCGCGGGUGCCACCUGGUCUCCGCCUCAGCGCUGCCUCGGCUCCUUCGGUUCCCACCAGCGGGAACGACCGUCCCCACUUUCAGCUUAAACUCAUCUGUCCUUCUGGAUCCAGCUCAGAGGUCUCUUUGUGAUGCCCUCCUGGAACUUCCCCCCUAGUAAUCCUUCCUUUGUAUUCCCGUGGCUCUUUGAUAAUAAUGGUUGGAGUCCUGAACCCGACCCUUUGUAUCGGACCGUGUUUGUCAUCUCCAGUGCUUUAUGAAGGCCUUGAAAGCAAGGUUCAGCCGUCUGUAUUGGUCAUCUUCCCAUUGCCAGUGCCUACGAAGGGCUUGACCCAUUCAUUGUUAGACGCUCAGUAAGUGUGUAUUGAGGCAGCCCUCUGUGCCACUCCAGGGCUCUUUCCACUAAAUCAUGAGUAUGUUGGUUUACCAGAUGGAAUGAGUAGCCUCUUCUUUGGAUACAUAAACACCCGAUGGAUAUUGUGGGUCACUGUGGAGGGAGAAUGAACGUAUGGGAUCCCUGACCUGUGGUUACUGGAAAACAGUUGACAUUUAGAGAGAGGCUGAAUUCUUGGGCUUCCCGUAGCCCCCAUCCUGAGUGUGCCAACAGGGACUAGAAGCAUCUCUAGUCUGCAAAGCGAGGAACAAGUGAUACUCUGUCCAAUUUUUCCAAUAUUGUUAUACUCAUGAAUAGAGAUUAAUGAAAUUGAAGAGCAUAUUCAAGAGAAAGACUAAAGGAGAAGUCGUCUGCCCCGUGGACAGGCAGCUUGAGUGGUGCUUGAGAAAAUGUACAUGAAAUUGCUUGUUAAAAAAUAUUCACGCCUGUAAUCCCAGCUCUUUUGGGAGGCCGAGGCGGGCAGAUUACUAGGUCAGGAGAUCGAGACCAUCCUGGCUAACACGGUGAAACCCCGUCCCUACUAAAAAUACAAAAACAAAAUUAGCCGGGCGUGGCGGCGGGCGCCUGUGGUCCCAGCUAUUGGGGAGGCUGAGGCAGGAGAAUGGCGUGAACCCGGGAGGCGGAGCUUGCAGUGAACGGAGAUGGCGCCACUGCACUCCAGCCUGGGCGAGAGAGCGAGACUCUGUCUCAAAAAAAAAAAAAUUAUAUAUAUAUAUAUGUAUAUAUCCAUCAGAGACAUGUAAAGGAUUAAAGUACGAUACACAAAGGCCUCAGAAGGGAUUUCAGUACAUUCUUUUUCUGGCUUCGUCCAGCAACUCCAGCCUGGUUUCUUCCCUGCCUUUGGGAUUAUGGUGGGAGGAUUGGGCGAGUGCAGUGCUGGGGAGGCGCUGUGUGUUGUCUCUAGGCAGUCCUCUGAAGAAAAACUGCAGGUUUUGGAUGUUAAGAAUAAAGCACCCUAUAGUAGGAAAGGGGUGGCCCAAAAACGGCAAAAAGGGAAAGGAGGGGACCUAAGUGGAGCAGUGACAUUGUCUGAUACACUUUCUCACUGGGUUUCUGCUCAGAUGUCACCUUCUUAGUAGGUGUUUCCUGACCUUUUUAAAAUUGCAUCUCAUUCCCCAACCCCCGGUGUCUGUUCAUGGCCUGUGCUUUACUUUUUCUGUAGCACUUGUCGCUACCUAACAUACUAUACUUCUUAUGAAUUUAUUUUGUUUUGUCUUUUUCUUCUUCUUUUCUUUUUUUUUUUGAGACGGAGUUUCGCUCUUAUUGCCCAGGCUGGAGUGCAAUGGCGCGAUCUUGGCUCACUACGACCUCCGUCUCCCGAGUUCAAGUGAUUCUCCUGCCUCAGCCUCCCAAGUAGCUGGGAUUACGGCAUGUGCCACCACACCCUGCUAAUUUUGUAUUUUUAGUAGAGACGAGGUUUCACCAUGUUGGUCAGGCUGGUCUUGGACUCCUGACCUCAAGUGAUCCACCGCCUCGGCCUCCCAAAGUGCUGGAUUACAGGCA
rnacentral:lncRNA from 1 species